AGUGGCGAACGGGUGAGUAACACGUGAGUAACCUGCCCUUGACUCUGGGAUAAGCGUUGGAAACGACGUCUAAUACCGGAUACGAACCUCAACCGCAUGGUUAGGGGUUGGAAAGAUUUUUUGGUCAAGGAUGGACUCGCGGCCUAUCAGCUUGUUGGUGAGGUAAUGGCUCACCAAGGCGACGACGGGUAGCCGGCCUGAGAGGGUGACCGGCCACACUGGGACUGAGACACGGCCCAGACUCCUACGGGAGGCAGCAGUGGGGAAUAUUGCACAAUGGGCGCAAGCCUGAUGCAGCAACGCCGCGUGAGGGAUGACGGCCUUCGGGUUGUAAACCUCUUUUAGUAGGGAAGAAGCGAAUGUGACGGUACCUGCAGAAAAAGCACCGGCUAACUACGUGCCAGCAGCCGCGGUAAUACGUAGGGUGCAAGCGUUGUCCGGAAUUAUUGGGCGUAAAGAGCUCGUAGGCGGUUUGUCGCGUCUGCUGUGAAAACUGGAGGCUCAACCUCCAGCCUGCAGUGGGUACGGGCAGACUAGAGUGCGGUAGGGGAGAUUGGAAUUCCUGGUGUAGCGGUGGAAUGCGCAGAUAUCAGGAGGAACACCGAUGGCGAAGGCAGAU
rnacentral:rRNA from 1 species